rnacentral:rRNA from 1 species
AUUGAACGCUGGCGGCAUGCCUUACACAUGCAAGUCGAACGGUAACGCGGGGCAACCUGGCGACGAGUGGCGAACGGGUGAGUAAUGCAUCGGAACGUGCCUGGUAGUGGGGGAUAACUGCUCGAAAGAGCGGCUAAUACCGCAUACGACCUGAGGGUGAAAGGGGGAGGUCCACGACUCUCGCUAUCAGAGCGGCCAGAGUGCGUCGGAUUCGAUGCUAGUUGGUGGGGUAAGAGCCCACCAAGGCGACGAUCCGUAGCUGGUCUGAGAGGACGACCAGCCACACUGGGACUGAGACACGGCCCAGACUCCUACGGGAGGCAGCAGUGGGGAAUUUUGGACAAUGGACGCAAGUCUGAUCCAGCCAUGCCGCGUGCGGGAAGAAGGCCUCGGGUUGUAAACCGCUUUUGUCAGGGAAGAAAUCUUCUGGGCUAAUACCCUGGGAGGAUGACGGUACCUGAAGAAUAAGCACCGGCUAACUACGUGCCAGCAGCCGCGGUAAUACGUAGGGUGCAAGCGUUAAUCGGAAUUACUGGGCGUAAAGCGUGCGCAGGCGGUUAUGCAAGACAGGUGUGAAAUCCCGAGCUCAACUUGGGAACUGCACUUGUGACUGCAUAGCUAGAGUACGGUAGAGGGGAGUGGAAUUCCGCGUGUAGCAGUGAAAUGCGUAGAUAUGCGGAGGAACA